GCCUGGGUGGCUCAAUCAGUUAAGUGUCUGACUUUGGAUCAGGUCAUGAUCUCAGGGUUUGUGGGUUCGAGUCCCAUAUCAGGCU
rfam:Felis catus isolate Cinnamon breed Abyssinian chromosome B2, whole genome shotgun sequence.